AGUGAACGCUGGCGGUAGGCCUAACACAUGCAAGUCGAACGGCAGCACAGUAAGAGCUUGCUCUUACGGGUGGCGAGUGGCGGACGGGUGAGGAAUACAUCGGAAUCUACUUUUUCGUGGGGGAUAACGUAGGGAAACUUACGCUAAUACCGCAUACGACCUACGGGUGAAGGCAGGGGAUCUUCGGACCUUGCGCGAUUGAAUGAGCCGAUGUCGGAUUAGCUAGUUGGCGGGGUAAAGGCCCACCAAGGCGACGAUCCGUAGCUGGUCUGAGAGGAUGGUCAGCCACACUGGAACUGAGACACGGUCCAGACUCCUACGGGAGGCAGCAGUGGGGAAUAUUGGACAAUGGGCGCAAGCCUGAUCCAGCCAUACCGCGUGGGUGAAGAAGGCCUUCGGGUUGUAAAGCCCUUUUGUUGGGAAAGAAAAGCAGCAGGUUAAUACCCCGCUGUUCUGACGGUACCCAAAGAAUAAGCACCGGCUAACUUCGUG
rnacentral:rRNA from 1 species